UACAGAGGUCCCAAGCGUUGUUCGGAUUCAUUGGGCGUAAAGGGUGUGUAGGUGGCGCGCUAAGUCGGGUGUGAAAUUUCGGAGCUUAACUCCGAAACUGCAUUCGAUACUGGCGUGCUUGAGGACUGGAGAGGAGACUGGAAUUCAUGGUGUAGCAGUGAAAUGCGUAGAGAUCAUGAGGAAUACCGAUGGCGAAGGCAGGUCUCUGGGCUGACACUGACGCUCAUGCACGAAAGCGUGGGGAGCAAACAGG
rnacentral:rRNA from 1 species